rnacentral:rRNA from 1 species
AUACGUAGGUGGCAAGCGUUGUCCGGAAUUACUGGGUGUAAAGGGCGCGUAGGCGGGACUGCAAGUCAGGUGUGAAAUCUGGUGGCUCAACCACCAAACUGCACUUGAAACUGUGGUUCUUGAGUGAUGGAGAGGCAAGUGGAAUUCCUAGUGUAGCGGUGAAAUGCGUAGAUAUUAGGAGGAACACCAGUGGCGAAGGCGACUUGCUGGACAUUAACUGACGCUGAGGCUCGAAAGUGUGGGGAGC